GAUCCUGGCUCAGAUUGAACGCUGGCGGCAGGCUUAACACAUGCAAGUCGAACGGUAACAUGAAGAAGCUUGCUUCUUUGAUGACGAGUGGCGGACGGGUGAGUAAUGCUUGGGAAUCUAGCUUAUGGAGGGGGAUAACUACGGGAAACUGUAGCUAAUACCGCGUAGAAUCGAGAGAUGAAAGUGUGGGACCUUCGGCCGACAUGCCAUAGGAUGAGCCCAACGUGGGGAGUUAGGUUAGG
rnacentral:rRNA from 1 species